UCGCCGCUAGUCUGUCUCUCAGCUUGAUGUCAAGAAUGCCUACAAGUAGCCACCACCUAGGUUCUCUUCCUAAUGGCAUGGUUUGUCGUCUUCGUCGCUGUCUAUAUGGCCCUAAGCAAACUCCUCAGGCCUGGUUUGAGCGCUUCGUCUCAGUGGUGAUUGCGGCUAGUUUUUGGCGAGUGCUCAUAGUACUACACAUCCGAUCCACCAUUCAGCUCGUGGUCGAACACUACUUCUACAUGUUGAUCAUCACUAGCAACGACUCUAAGUACAUUACCUUGGUGAAGGCUCGUCAUAGUGAAUUUCUUAUGUCCGAUCUUGGUCCUCUUUGGUACUUCCUUGAGAUUGAGGUUUAUUCUACCUCUAAUGACUUCUUUAUUUUCUAAGAGAAGUAUGUCCAGGAUCUUCUUACUCGUGCUACUCUUUCUGAUGAGCGCACUGUUGAGACUCCUAUGGAGUCAACGUCCACCUUUGUGACCACCUCCGCUCCCUACGAGUCUGGAUGGGCAUCCUUUGCCUUGCUGCGGGUUGCUACAAGCACUGUCUCAAUCCCACAUCCCGUGUUCCCUUUGUGUGACACCAUAACCGCGUGCUCGAGCGCCACCAAUGGUGAGCAGGAGCUCGGACAAUCAACGCGUACCUGGAUUAUGCACGGGACGAGCCGAAGACAGGCGCUACCUAAAGUCGAGGCCAAGGGCGCACAGGAGGAGAACCUGGGGUGUUUAAUCAAGCACGUGGCACACAACCCGCAAUCAGGAAAGGAACACCCAGUCGGAUCGUCGGGGUACGAAGAGUGCACAGGCAAGUGGGAUGCUGGAUCAAGUCCCUCUACUGUCAGUGCCGCCAGUCUCUUCCUCUGUUGCCUUGUCUACCAGAUAUUUUCAAGAGUGGCAUCAUCGCCUUGGGUCACUUGUGAUCUCUCAUCCUUAGUUCGACGUGAUCUUCUUGGAUCCGUCUCCAAUGAUGUCUCUAAUACGUGGUCCAGUUACCUUAUACUCAUAGCGAGACAGUGUCUCAGCAUCCUUUAGACCUUGUUCACUCUGAUCUCGAGGGAUCAUCUCCUUUUGCCUCCGCUAGUGACUUCUC